GAUGAAGAACGUAGCAAAAUGCGAUACUUGGUGUGAAUUGCAGAAUCCCGUGAACCAUCGAGUUUUUGAACGCAAGUUGCGCCCGAAGCCUUUUGGCCGAGGGCACGUCUGCCUGGGCGUCACGCAUCGCGUCGCCCCCCACAAUUCUCCGUAAAGGGGACGUGUGUUUUGGGGGCGGAUAUUGGUCUCCCGUGCUCAUGGCGUGGUUGGCCGAAAUAGGAGUCCUUUCGAUGGACGCACGAACUAGUGGUGGUCGUAAAAACCCUCGUCUUUUGUUUCGUGCUGUUGCUCGCAAGGUAAACUCUUUAAAAACCCCAAUGUGUCGUCUCUUGACGACGCUUCGACCGCGACCCCAGGUCAGGCGGGACUACCCGCUGAGUUUAAGCAUAUCAAUAAGCGGAGGA
rnacentral:misc_RNA from 1 species